CCCUCCUUCCUCCCCACCCCCUCCCCGCGGUCUCCUGUGCGGUGCCCUGAGCGCUGGAGGCUGACGUCAGGGGCCUGAAUUCCUGACUUUGCCUGCACGCAUUUGUCCAUGUAAGAGUCUUGUUGGAGCCCCGCCCAGGACUCCAGUAGGACUCAGAACUACGGGAUGGUGGAGAGCAACUUCGGUUCACUUCACACGUGAGAGCGCCGAAGCUCUCAGGAGCUGCGACCGGACCCAGUCGCACACGGUGCAAAUCUAGGAGCAGAUCCCAUUCUCCGCUCCCAGCUGGGUUUCCGCCUCCAGGCAGGACCCAAGCUCCGAGGCUGUGAACUCAGAACCGAGUUAGACCUGGCAGAUGACUCGACCACCCACUGAAGUGACUAGCCCCAGUUCCUGGAAGGUUGCGGUUGACAAGCCUUGAGUAACAGUGGCAAUCAGGGCAACUUCCUGUUCUUUGUUCAGAACAGAAACGAACCUUUGGAGUUUAAGACUUGCUUCCCAACCUUGCUCUGCCGGAAUACCAGAAAGCUUGCUCUUUUCUUAGAGCUUGGAAAAGAAAAUACACAAACUGGGUGAACUGGUUUGAAUAAAGACAGGCCUGUUCUUGGAAGGUUGGGGUUGGAUUUUUUUUUUUUUUUGUCUUUGAUAUUUGUAAAAGUGAGCAAAGAUGAGAACCCCAUGUACCAGAUGAAGACAUGGAGUAGGAGGUACUAGAGGCCCUCUGGGCCGCAGUAUUGAAGGCUUUUAAUUCCACCACUAGGAAGGAAGUCUAUGUGGUCCCUGUCCCCCCCAGAAAAACAAAACCAACUUAUGAUUAGUUCUUUUUGUCUGUCUUUCCUGUUCCUACACAAAAGAAAUGCCUCACCUUGGCCCAUGCUGAUGGCAACCCCAGCCCACCCUAAUGGCUCCCCCACCCAUUUCUACAAUCUCAAAUGGUUUGGAUGGGCUAAAUGUGGUAAAGUGACCUGAGCAGACUCCUGAACUCUUCAGAUCUGAAGCCUCUUUCCAUCCACCCUGUGGUCCCUGACCUCCUGUAGCUAAGCCAGUCAUGCGCAUACGAAGUACACCAAGAGCCUAUGGGUGCAGGGAAGCUUAAACGUGGCUCUUUUCGGGUUAGAUUUCGAUGACCCCAUUUCACUAAGAAUUAAGCAAAUGAGUGUCAGAGUGCA